rnacentral:rRNA from 1 species
GACGAACGCUGGCGGCGCGCUUAACACAUGCAAGUCGAGCGAAGCGGCGGACGGGUGAGUAACACGUGAGUAAACUGCCUUAGACAUUGGGAUAGCCUCGGGAAACCGGGAUUAAUAACAAAUGGUCUACGGGGGACGCGCGUGCCAUUCGAUAGUUGGUGAGGUAACGGCCCAGCAAGGCGACGAUGGGUAUCCGGCCUGAGAGGGUGAGCGGACACAUCGGAACUGGGAAACGGUGCAAACGCGACGGGAGGGAGCAGUGGGGGAUAUUGCACAAUGGAGGGAACUCUGAUGCUGCGACGCCGCGUGAACGAAGAAGGCUUGCGAGUCGUAAAGUUCUUUUAUAUGGGAAGCGGUACCAUAAGAAAAAGCCCCGGCUAACUACGUGCCAGCAGCCGCGGUAAUUC